rnacentral:rRNA from 1 species
CCUACGGGAGGCAGCAGUGAGGAAUAUUGGUCAAUGGACGAGAGUCUGAACCAGCCAAGUAGCGUGAAGGAUGACUGCCCUAUGGGUUGUAAACUUCUUUUAUAUGGGAAUAAAAUGUUCCACGUGUGGGAUUUUGUAUGUACCAUAUGAAUAAGGAUCGGCUAACUCCGUGCCAGCAGCCGCGGUAAUACGGAGGAUCCGAGCGUUAUCCGGAUUUAUUGGGUUUAAAGGGAGCGUAGGUGGAUUGUUAAGUCAGUUGUAAAAGUUUGCGGCUCAACCGUAAAAUUGCAGUUGAAACUGGCAGUCUUGAGUACAGUAGAGGUGGGCGGAAUUCGUGGUGUAGCGGUGAAAUGCUUAGAUAUCACGAAGAACUCCGAUUGCGAAGGCAGCUUACUAAACUGCCACUGACAUUGAUGCUCGAAAGUGUGGGUAUCAAACAGGAUUAGAUACCCUGGUAGUC